rnacentral:rRNA from 1 species
CCUACGGGGGGCAGCAGUGAGGAAUAUUGGUCAAUGGGCGCUAGCCUGAACCAGCCAAGUCGCGUGAAGGAUGACUGCUCUAUGGGUUGUAAACUUCUUUUAUAUGGGAAUAAAGUGCAGUAUGUAUACUGCUUUGCAUGUACCUUUUGAUUCAGGAUCGGCUAACUACGUGCCAGCAGCCGCCGUAAUACGGAGGAUCCGAGCGUUAUCCGGAUUUAUUGGGUUUAACGGGAGCGUAGGCGGGUUGUUAAGUCAGUUGUGAAAGUUUGCGGCUCAACCGUAAAAUUGCAGUUGAUACUGGCAGCCUUGAGGACAGUAGAGGUAGGCGGAAUUCGUGGUGUAGGGGUGAAAUGCGUAGAUAUCACGAAGAACUCCGAUUGCGAAGGCAGCCUGCUGGACUGUAACUGACGCUGAUGCGCGAAAGUGUGGGUAUCAAACAGGAUUAGAUACCCCAGUAGUC